CUUCUUGUUGGUCAUGUUGGC
rnacentral:miRNA from 11 species